UUAAUUCGAUGCAAAACAAAGAACCUUACCAGGACUUGACAUACCGCAAAUCCUCUUGAAAGGGAGGAGUACCUUUGGGAACUCAACACAGGUAGUGCAUGGUUGUUGUCAGCUCGUGCCAUAAGGUGCUAGGUUAAGUCCCCCAACGAGCAAAUAACACACAGCCAGGAAGCUCAACAAUAAAUAUUUUUCUCCACAUUUGGACA
rnacentral:rRNA from 1 species